rnacentral:rRNA from 1 species
UACGGGGGGGGCAAGCGUUGUUCGGAAUUCCUGGGCGUAAAGGGUGCGUAGGCGGCUUUCUAAGUUGGAUGUGAAAACUCUGGGCUCAACCCAGAGCCUGCAUCCAAAACUGGAGAGCUUGGGUACUGGAGGGGAAAGCGGAAUUCCUGGUGUAGCGGUGAAAUGCGUAGAUAUCAGGAGGAACACCGGUGGCGAAGGCGGCGAGCUGGUCCAUUACUGACGCUGAGGCGCGACAGCGUGGGGAGCAAACAGG